ensembl:lncRNA
GCCGAGGAAGUAGGUUGCUUGCUGAAUAGCCGAGAUUUAUGUGAUCUUUUUAGCAGAUGACCUGGAAUUUCCCCCGAGCUUGGUAUUCUCUCCCUGCAGCUCCUCUUUCCCAGCAGUAGUGAGUCUAAGAAUACACCUGCCGCCCCCCAGGGCUUCCUCCAGGUCACAAGAGCCUCCGACUUAGCCCGGCAACUUGGGCACAGACACUUGUUCCGCUUCGGAAGCCCUUUCCUGUCAUUUCUGGACUACCCCAGAGCCACACCCCCCCAGAAGACGUCAGAUGUGUUCGUCCUGCGUCGGUCGUGGCAGCAGGACCAAAGCCGACAGCCAGCGUUCUCAGUACCCUCGGAAAGGGGGCUGCUGACACCACCAGAAACCAGAGCCAACACGGUUUAUUCAUCUGUUAAAUCAAGAGUGAUGGGAAGACGGUCCAUCCCAGGCGGCGUGUUUUGCACCAGGCAAAUAAUGACGAAUCAUGUGUAAAAUGUUAUAA